rnacentral:rRNA from 1 species
GACGGAGGAUGCAAGUGUUAUCCGGAAUCACUGGGCGUAAAGCGUCUGUAGGUGGUCAAAUAAGUCCACUGUUAAACCUUGAGGCUCAACCUCAAAUCUGCAUUGGAAACUAGGAGACUUGAGUAUAGUAGGGGUAGAGGGAAUUUCCAGUGGAGCGGUGAAAUGCGUAGAUAUUGGAAAGAACACCGAUGGCGAAGGCACUCUACUGGGCUAUUACUGACACUCAGAGACGAAAGCUAGGGGAGCAAAUGGG